rnacentral:rRNA from 1 species
GAAUUCGAUUAGAGUUUGAUCAUGGCUCAGGACGAACGCUGGCGGCGUGCUUAACACAUGCAAGUCGAACGGAGAUUGAGAGGAAGCUUGCGAAUCUCAAACUUAGUGGCGAACGGGUGAGUAACGCGUGGAUAACCUGCCUGUUAGACUGGGAUAACAGCUGGAAACGGCUGCUAAUACCAGAUACGCUUGCGAGAUCGCAUGAUCUUGCAAGGAAAGCUUUCGUGCUAACAGAUGGAUCCGCGUCCCAUUAGCUAGUUGGUGGUGUAAGGGACCACCAAGGCGACGAUGGGUAGCCGGCCUGAGAGGGCGACCGGCCACACUGGGACUGAGACACGGCCCAGACUCCUACGGGAGGCAGCAGUGGGGAAUCUUCCGCAAUGGGCGAAAGCCUGACGGAGCAACGCCGCGUGAGGGAAGAAGGCCUUCGGGUUGUAAACCUCUGUUUUCAGGGAAGAAAAGAUGACGGUACCUGAAGAGUAAGCCCCGGCUAACUACGUGCCAGCAGCCGCGGCAAUACGUAGGGGGCAAGCGUUGUCCGGAUUUACUGGGCGUAAAGGGCGCGUAGGUGGUCCAUUAAGUUAGAGGUUAAAGUUCGGGGCUCAACCCCGUGAUGCCUCUGAUACUGGUGGACUUGAGUGCAGGAGAGGGGAGCAGAAUUCCCAGUGUAGCGGUGAAAUGCGUAGAUAUUGGGAGGAAUACCAGUGGCGAAGGCGGCUCUCUGGACUGUAACUGACACUGAGGCGCGAAAGCGUGGGGAGCGAACAGGAUUAGAUACCCUGGUAGUCCACGCCGUAAACGAUGAGUGCUAGGUGUUGCGGGUAUCGACCCCUGCAGUGCCGUAGUAAACACAAUAAGCACUCCGCCUGGGGAGUACGGUCGCAAGACUGAAACUCAAAGGAAUUGACGGGGGCCCGCACAAGCGGUGGAGUAUGUGGUUUAAUUCGACGCAACGCGAAGAACCUUACCAGGGCUUGACAUCGCGCGAAAGCCGUAGAGAUACGGUGCUCUACUUCGGUAGACGCGUAGACAGGUGGUGCAUGGUUGUCGUCAGCUCGUGUCGUGAGAUGUUGGGUUAAGUCCCGCAACGAGCGCAACCCCUAACAUUAGUUGCCAGCGAGUAAAGUCGGGAACUCUAAUGUGACUGCCGUUGACAAAACGGAGGAAGGUGGGGAUGACGUCAAAUCAUCAUGCCCCUUAUGUCCUGGGCUACACACGUACUACAAUGGCCGGUACAGACGGAAGCGAAGCCGUGAGGUGGAGCAAACCUGAGAAAGCCGGUCCCAGUUCGGAUUGUAGUCUGCAACUCGACUAC